GACGAACGCUGGCGGCGUGCUUAACACAUGCAAGUCGAGCGGAAAGGCCCUUUCGGGGGUACUCGAGCGGCGAACGGGUGAGUAACACGUGAGUAAUCUGCCCUUGGCUUUGGGAUAACCACCGGAAACGGUGGCUAAUACCGGAUACGACCACUCCCGGCAUCGGGUGGUGGUGGAAAGUUUUUUCGGCCAGGGAGGUGCUCGCGGCCUAUCAGCUUAUUGGUGGGGUAAUGGCCUACCAAGGCUUCGCCGGGUAGCCGGCCUGAGAGGGUGACCGGCGAGACGGGGAGGGAGACACGGCCCAGGCUCCUGCGGGAGGCAGCAGUGGGGAAUGUUGGGCAAUGGGCGGAAGCCUGAUCCAGCAACGCCGCGUGAGGGAUGACGGCGUUGGGGUUGUAAACCUCUUUCAGUACCGACGAAGCGCCGAUGAUGGCGGUGACGGUAGGUACAGAAGAAGCACCGGCCAACUACGUGCCAGCCGCCGCAGUAA
rnacentral:rRNA from 1 species